GGUUCCUUAGCUCAGCUGGUUAGAGUAUUGUACUAAUAUUAAGAAUCAGUAUUGGUCAUGCAAUGGUCGGCGGUUCGAGCCCGCCAGGAAUCA